GACGAACGCUGGCGGCGUGCUUAACACAUGCAAGUCGAACGGAAAGGCCCUGCUUUUGUGGGGUGCUCGAGUGGCGAACGGGUGAGUAACACGUGAGUAACCUGCCCUUGACUUUGGGAUAACUUCAGGAAACUGGGGCUAAUACCGGAUAGGAGCCCCUGCUGCAUGGUGGGGGUUGGAAAGUUUCGGCGGUUGGGGAUGGACUCGCGGCUUAUCAGCUUGUUGGUGGGGUAGUGGCUUACCAAGGCUUUGACGGGUAGCCGGCCUGAGAGGGUGACCGGCCACAUUGGGACUGAGAUACGGCCCAGACUCCUACGGGAGGCAGCAGUGGGGAAUAUUGCACAAUGGGCGGAAGCCUGAUGCAGCAACGCCGUGUGCGGGAUGACGGCCUUCGGGUUGUAAACCGCUUUCGCCUGUGACGAAGCGUGAGUGACGGUAAUGGGUAAAGAAGCACCGGCUAACUACGUG
rnacentral:rRNA from 1 species